AAGGAGCAGCUGCUAAUUGUAUCAGGCCACCAGGUUCUGCUCAGGAAGGCCUGUCUGCAGCAACCAGAACUGGAAGCCUGGUGGCCCGCUUGACAUGCCCUGUGCUUGGGUAGACAAGCAGAAGCAACCCUGCUUGGGCUGUCAUCAGUCCACCGUGUCCUCUUCUAAGCCUCUCCAUUAACUUCUUGGACAGGAGCUGAGGACCAGUCAACUUUGUACACUCUGUGCACUCUGAAGCAGCUCUUAACA